rnacentral:rRNA from 1 species
CCAUGCCGCGUGUGUGAAGAAGGCCCUCGGGUCGUAAAGCACUUUAAGUUGGGAGGAAGGGCUUACAGCGAAUACCUGUGAGUUUUGACGUUACCGACAGAAUAAGCACCGGCUAACUUCGUGCCAGCAGCCGCGGUAAUACGAAGGGUGCAAGCGUUAAUCGGAAUUACUGGGGCGUAAAGCGCGCGUAGGUGGCUUGAUAAGUUGGAUGUGAAAUCCCCGGGCUCAACCUGGGAACUGCAUCCAAAACUGUCUGGCUAGAGUGCGGUAGAGGGUAGUGGAAUUUCCAGUGUAGCGGUGAAAUGCGUAGAUAUUGGAAGGAACACCAGUGGCGAAGGCGACUACCUGGACUGACACUGACACUGAGGUGCGAAAGCGUGGGGGAGCAAACAGGAUUAGAUACCCUGGUAGUCCACGCCGUAAACGAUGUCAACUAGCCGUUGGGGAUCCUUGAGAUCUUAGUGGCGCAGCUAACGCAUUAAGUUGACCGCCUGGGGAGUACGGCCGCAAGGUUAAAACUCAAAUGAAUUGACGGGGGCCCGCACAAGCGGUGGAGCAUGUGGUUUAAUUCGAAGCAACGCGAAGAACCUUACCUGGCCUUGACAUGCUGAGAACUUUCCAGAGAUGGAUUGGUGCCUUCGGGAACUCAGACACAGGUGCUGCAUGGGCUGUCGUCAGCUCGUGUCGUGAGAUGUUGGGUUAAGUCCCGUAACGAGCGCAACCCUUGUCCUUAGUUACCAGCACGUUAUGGUGGGCACUCUAAGGAGACUGCCGGUGACAAACCGGAGGAAGGUGGGGAUGAACGUCAAGUUCAUCAUGGCCCUUACGGCCAGGGCUACACACG